rnacentral:rRNA from 1 species
UACGUAGGGUGCAAGCGUUGUCCGGAAUUAUUGGGCGUAAAGAGCUCGUAGGCGGUCUGUCGCGUCGGACGUGAAAAUCCAGGGCUCAACCAUGGACCUGCGUUCGAUACGGGCAGACUAGAGUUCGGUAGGGGAGACUGGAAUUCCUGGUGUAGCGGUGAAAUACGUAGAUAUUAGGUGGAACACCGGUGGGGAAGCCGGGUGCCUGGCCCAACAUUGACAUUUAGGCUCGAAAGCGUGGGGAUCAAACAGG